GUGAACAGUUCUGUCAGGCACAGACACUAAACAGAAAACAAGAUCCCACAAAACCCAAAAGGAAAAUUACAACUUAUAUAUGAUCCCCAAUCAGAGACAACGGUAGACAGCUGCCUCUGAUUGGGAACCACACUCUGCCAAAAACAAAGAAAUAGAAAACAUAGACUUUUCCACCCGAGUCGCACCCUGACCUAACCAAACAUAGAGAAUAAUAAGGAUGUCUAAGGUCAGGGCGUGACACUCUCACUCCUCUCCUCUAACUCCUCUAUCUCCUCUCCUCUAACUCCUCUGCUCUACCUCUACCUCCUCUCUUCUUCUCUGACACAGGGUGCAGCUCCAGAACUAUAGGCCCCCGCAGCGAGCCGGUCACACAGAAGCCCACAAGAUGAUACCCCCACCAGCCACAGUUAUUCUGCCUGGCCCCUCCAACUUCCCUCUCUCCUUCUCUCAGUCAAUCUCUCCCUCCCCCUUCUCCCCAACCCCACCUGUGCUGAAAGAAAAUCCAUGUCAGCGGAGAGCGAUUCAUCUUGCUUUAACAAGGCCUGGACAUCAGUAAAUAUGAAGUACGCGGUGGACAGGAAGGAUUGUCAGACAGCACUGUUUUCAGUGCCACGCAGAUGCCAGCUGUACAGUGAUGGCCAUGCUGUCCUGAUGCCCCUCAGAUGGCACUAACCGUGCCAGGGAGAGGCCACGAUACCUGGCAGAGGGCACACACACACAUUAGCCCUGCACGCCAGUACCUUCCACUCAGACCAGGUGGCCAGUUGAGAACAAGUUCUCAUUUACAACUGCGACCUGGCCAAGGAUGAUGCCAUGGAUGAUGUCAUGAAUGAUGUCAUGGAUGAUGUAAUGGAAGAAGUCAUGGAUGAUGUCAUGGAAGACAUCAUGGAUGAUGCCAUGGAAGACAUCAUGGAUGAUGUCAUGGAAGACAUCAUGGAUGAUGCCAUGGAAGACAUCAUGGAUGAUGCCAUGGAUGAUGUCAUGGAAGAUGUCAUGGAAGACAUCAUGGAUGACGUCAUGGAUGAUGUUUCUAAUAUAACAUCUAUGAUCAGUUAAGCAUGUGAAGUACCAAUGAACUUUUUGUAAAUGUACAAGACCAAAAUGUACAAUAGGCCUAUCUACACAGUCACACACAGCAGAGCACUGUUAAAGUCUCACUGCAGACUGUUAAAAGAGAGAUAUAGAGAGA
ensembl:lncRNA